UAGGGAAUCUUCGGCAAUGGGGGCAACCCUGACCGAGCAACGCCGCGUGAGUGAAGAAGGUUUUCGGAUCGUAAAGCUCUGUUGUAAGAGAAGAACGUGUGUGAGAGUGGAAAGUUCACACAGUGACGGUAACUUACCAGAAAGGGACGGCUAACUACGUGCCAGCAGCCGCGGUAAUACGUAGGUCCCGAGCGUUGUCCGGAUUGAUUGGGCGUAAAGCGAGCGCAGGCGGUUUAAUAGUCUGAAGUUAAAGGCAGUGGCUUAACCAUUGUUCGCUUUGGAAACUGUUAAACUUGAGUGCAGAAGGGGAGAGUGGAAUUCCAUGUGUAGCGGUGAAAUGCGUAGAUAUAUGGAGGAACACCGGUGGCGAAAGCGGCUCUCUGGUCUGUAACUGACGCUGAGGCUCGAAAGCGUGGGGAGCAAACAGG
rnacentral:rRNA from 1 species